CUACGCUGCGAUAAGCCGUGGGGAGCUGCGAAGAAGCUUUGAUCCACGGAUUUCCGAAUGGGGAAACCCACCUUCGAUAGCUGGAACUCCAAGAUCUCGUAUCUUGGGGUUCAGACAGCAAUGUGUGAGACCAAGCCGCGAGGUUUUGGAUUUCCAGUUAUCAAGUGAAGGUAUGAAAUCUCUGAAUUCAUAGGAGGUUUUAAGCGAACCCAGGGAACUGAAACAUCUAAGUACCUGGAGGAAAGGACAUCAAUCGAGACUCCGUUAGUAGUGGCGAGCGAACGCGGACCAGGCCAGUGAUACAUCAAAGACAACCGGAACCUGUCAGGAAAGCAGGGCCUCAGAGGGUGAUAGCCCCGUACGGGUAAUGCGAUGAUGUAUCCACGAGUAAGGCGGGACACGUGUAAUCCUGUCUGAACAUGGGGGGACCACCCUCCAAGCCUAAGUACUCCUCAGCGACCGAUAGU
rnacentral:rRNA from 3 species